GGAUCUCAGUGCUGCUCGGUGUCGCUCGAGGAUGGGAAAUGAAGGAGCAGGGGGAGCCUGCAGACAUUUGGGCCAUCAGCUGACACUGCAACAUUUCUGGCAGCACUCCGGCACACAAGGAUAUUAUUACCCCGGCCAGCUUGAAAGCUGCAGCCUCCAUCAGAUGGAGACGUGAUCCUAAGAGUGAAUGCCCCCCAGCUCACACUGGGAUGCCACUACAGCUGAACCUCAUGCAUUCCAGGCUUCACGUAGGAGUGGGUUCCUUGGUAACGUCCACACUGCAGAAGGACCUCGGCCCAACGUGACCCGGCCACCCGCUGAAUGUUUUCCUGUGUUGCUUCAGCUUGGACACUUGGAACUGUUUUGGAGCAGCGACGUAAACAGCACGAGCCCAGCCUUAAGGGAGUGCUGUGAAGAAAUGCAGGGCAGGUGCUCUUCUCCAUCAGAGGGGAGGUCACAGAGACCGGGGGUUGUCCUGCCUGCAGGAGCCGGGGAACACAGGGGCAGCAGAGGUGCAGAGCACACAGCUACCUGGAUCCAGCCCAAGCACGAGGGCUGCUCUUGAGAAGUUGAACAAAACCACGGUGGAGAUUCCAGCACAAGCCCUAGGAGAGAUUGCCUGAGAUGGGGGCAGGGCUGGAGGGAGGCGCCCUGGGGCAGAGCUCCCUGUCUGUGCUUCUGCUUCUCCAGUCCACACUGAUCUUUCCAGGAGAACUGGCACAGCGCCCCGACUCUGCAUCCCAUAAAUAAGGCUCAGCAUCAGCUGUCAUGUCAGCGGGAGACAAAACAUUUAAUGUGAAAGGCUUUAAAUGGAAGCAGGAAAUGAAAAGAUAAAGGGCAAAUUUUAUUUUAGAUUCCUUGUUGGUACAUAUUUUCCUUCCUGACAGUGAGGGGAUGCGAUGGCUUUAUCGGCCCACUGCUCGAGAACCUAUUUAUGGAACCCUCACGCUUUGCAAGAAAGUGGGAGCGAAUGCAGGUUGGAAGCAGAGCAGGGAAGGGAUGAACCCACUGUCCCCUCUUCCCUGAGUGGAUUGGGAGGCUGAGAAAAUUGCUGGUGCCAUAGAAACUAUCAGCACAGGCUGCAAGGAGCGGGCAGGAAUGCGGCAGUGAGAGCAGCACGAAGCCACCUUCCUUGCUGCCCAUGGACACGAGGUGGGCUGCCACAGCAAACAGCCCCCAGCACGUGCCAUCACACCAAACAGAAGAUUCUUUCCUAACCUCAAAUAUGUUUCAGUUGUAACUUAGCAACCCGUGUUGGGUGAAAGCACCAAGGAGGAAAGCAGGUACUGAGGAGAGCUGGAGCCCCACGCUCCCUUUAGUCCCAUACCUUAGCAACAGCUCAGUACCAGCAAGGAGGUUGGACGAGCAGGGCCGUCGCACAGCCAGCACCUCUCACUGCUGGGAAACUGCCCCUCCAUCAUCCAGAGCUACACGGUGAGAUUAAUUAACGUUUCUUCCACCCAACAGCAGUGAGUCAGCCCUGCCCGUCACACAGUGAUGAUUCAGAGCUCUGUCGCUGUCUCACAGGCGGACUUUGAAGAAGUGGAGGCUCACAGUGCAUGUAUUGUGAGUCAGUGACACUCAGGUGAGAGAGGAAUCGAAAGCAGAGCCCAAGGACAACUCCAAGGACUCGCCAAGGUUUGCCCACGUGUGCUCCACUCACCAGGCAACCUUGGAAACCUUGGGUAUCUGGUGAAUUAUCUGAAACGACUUCUAGCCUUCAUCCUCGAUAUCAAAAUCCUCCCUUUCACAGCACUGUGUGAUGGCUUUGCUUGAAGAGCCUUAGCCCUUGGGACACCAGGAGGGAAGUGCUGUGCCCAGGGACAGGCACCAGCCCGGGGCUCAGGGCAGGAAGGGAUGUGUGUCCACUCCACCUCUCCUAUAUGACACCUGCUACUUCACAUCACAUCCCCAGAAAAGGACCUCAGGAUCCUCAGGACCACGACCCAAGGAUGCAGCAGUGCUCAGGACCUGCAGCAACUUCGAGGAGAACCAAACUUCAUGCAGAGGCUGCUGAUGUUGCACAGCCAAUGCACAAGAGAUCUGCCUGCAAAAAACGUGGGAAACUCAUGAUGCUCCCCGUUCCCACAGCCUUACAGCUCUGUGCCAUUCCCCAUCUUGAACCAACGCUUUACGAAGGACCACAUGAAAACCCACCAACCCACUGAGCUAAUAAUUGCAGUACCCCAAUCCUCAAAGCUGUCAAUCUCUUCAAAAUGCAGCUAAACGAGACAACUGCCUUCCACGCACUCCUUAAUGCCACCUAUUCCCAGAACACAGAUUGAAUUUGCAACUCAACACUUGAGCCUGCUGGCUAUUGAGAUCAGCGAGCGUCACAAGGAUCCAUGCUGUCUCAUUAGGCUGUCAUGCAGUCCCAUGCCAUUUUCAGGGUUAUACUUAGAACCCACCGUCUCCUUGGAGCAGGAUCUAUUUGAUCUGCGUGAGCAAAAGCAAUUGGAACAGCCUGCAACUCUUCCACAGAAAUAAAAGGUAACAAAUCAUUCGUAAUAAAUUUAUUUUAUAUAUUGGUUUACAGAGCUAAACUGAACGGAUAAUAAACAGCACCAAGCCAGUGAGAUUUGUUCUACAAAACAAGUUUAAUACAAAAAACAUGACUGCAAUGCUUAACUCCUCACUCUGUGUUUGGAUGGUUAAAAACAAUCGUAACUCAAAACCUGCAAACAGUUAAAAAAGGCUUAAUUACAUAGGCACUGGUGUUUGGGAAAGCUUCUGUAACAACAGUGGAGAUCUCACCACAAUGUUUUAGAAGAAUCAAGGCUGCCUUCAGCUGAUUCCCUAUUUAGUGGUAAACGACUAGAAGGCCGUUCCUGAGUCUCCUCUCUUGUUCAAACACCUUACAUGUGCGACCAAAAGCAACCUAUGGGCUAGGAGUGAACCCCCCACAGCACAGCUCUCGUGUGACCCAUCAGGCCUCCCUGCAGAAAGCUGCUCUCCCCACUCCCCCUGUCUGAUGAGCAGCACCAGGUAUUGCCAGGAGCCCCUGCCACCCUUCUGCAGCAGGAGGCACAGGUGGAAUGCGCCACCAAACACCCUGGGGGGGGGGGAGGGAGGAGAUGCAGACUUCAUCCUGGGAUGCGGGCAGGGCGCCCACCCUGCGGGUGGCAUCAACAAUCUGCAAACCUUGCAGGAGGGCUCUGGCUGCCAUCCUGAGCCCAGCUGCCCAGCAGAGCCUGGAAGGGAAGCUCUCCAUGCACUCAGCAUCAGAGCUGAAUGCAAAAAUCCACAUUCUGCUCAUGGAGCUGCUAAACCCACUGCCGACACACGCUGCCACUGGCUUCUCUCUGCAGGUUUUGUUAGCUUAGGCCAGAAAUGAAUUUGGUCCUCGCUGUCCCAGCAGUGUCCUGUCAGCGGUUUGAUGACACAGGGAAGAACAGAUUAACAGUAUUUUUGCCCAGUCUAAGCUGCCACACUCUGGAGAUAUUUUCUUUGAAGAAAACAAAAGAAAUCAACACCCCCCAAAACAACAACAGUCCUACACAGGACACAGAAACAAACUUAACUAGCUAGAUGACUGCAGAUACAAAACACAACGCCUGCAGCACCAACAGAGGACGGGCUGCUGCUCCUUCCACCUGUCGUGAGGCUGCAGGAACACGGAUUUGGCACCCCCUGACAAUGCACGACCCCAUGCAUUGUACGCCUCUGCUCUGACCCACAGCACACACAUUGCAGCUGCCCAAGAUAAACAAGUACAUUCAGCCCCAAUAGACAUUCCAAAGCUGCUAUUCAAUAGCCCACGAAGCAACCCCUUGUAGCCACAAGAAAGCGCUUCCUGAAGCUUCCUAUAUCCUUCACUUCCCACCCAAAUUCCCCCCGCCCCCCAAGAAAACAUAAAGCACAGAAUUUGCAGACUUAAAAAGUGGAACAGGAUCACAAAUGUUUCCCUCCACACCCCCAGCCCAGCCCAAACCAUCAAGGCACGUCAGACUGCCCUCCCUCUAUGACUACCUUUGCCUCAUUUUAUCUUAUUUUUUUCCUAUUAUUUUUCCCCCCCCACUUUUGAAGGGUGAAACAGACACAAACAUUCUCCCUGUUGGGGAGCAGCAAGUGCUUUCAUUGCUGUCUCUGCACUGCUAAAAAACAAACGCUAACAAAAUACAUCUCAGCUGCCACCCUAAAGUUUCCAUGGGAAAUGCCAACCUCCUUUAAACACGUUCCAUGCUGGAUGCUGCCUCCAGUUGGCUUUUGCAGAAUUGAGGUCAAAUUUUAAGAACCAUUGUCAGAGAGAUCUCAGGUCCUUCAACAUUUAAGGACGCGUUAUUUUAACACGCUGCUUUAGGCUUGCUUGCCUACAGAAGCCAGAUAUCUGCUGGAAGGUUAACUUUGGUGUGAUUCUAGCUUCCCACCAGCUCAAGCCCAUCUUCUUUCUAAGCCAACAUUAUUGCCCUGGUUGUUUUUUUUUUUGUUU